AGAGUUUGAUCCUGGCUCAGGAUGAACGCUGGCGGCGUGCCUAAUACAUGCAAGUCGAACGAGGUGCUUUUGUAGCAAUACGAGAGUAUCCUAGUGGCGAACGGGUGAGUAACGCGUUGGUGACCUACCCCAAAGUGUGGGAUAACAGUCCGAAAGGAUUGCUAAUACCGCAUGUGGUCUUCGGAUCUAGAAACUGAUGACUAAAGGAGCAAUUCGCUUUGGGAGGGACCUGCGUCCCAUCAGCUAGUUGGUGAGGUAACGGCUCACCAAGGCGACGACGGGUAGGGGACCUGAGAGGGUGGCCCCCCACAAUGGAACUGAAACACGGUCCAUACACCUACGGGUGGCAGCAGUAGGGAAUAUUGCUCAAUGGGCGAAAGCCUGAAGCAGCAACGCCGCGUGCACGAUGAAGGCCUUCGGGUCGUAAAGUGCUUUUCUGCGAGAUGAGAAAGGACAGUAUCGUAGGAAUAAGUCUCGGCUAACUACGUGCCAGCAGCCGCGGUAAAACGUAGGAGGCGAGCGUUAUCCGGAUUCACUGGGCGUAAAGCGCGUGCAGGUGGCGCGGUAAGUUGGGUGUGAAAUCUCCCGGCUCAACUGGGAGAGGUCAUUCAAUACUACCGUGCUUGAGAGCAGAAGAGGAAGAUGGAAUUCCCGGUGUAGUGGUGAAAUGCGUAGAUAUCGGGAGGAACACCAGUGGCGAAGGCGAUCUUCUGGUCUGUUUCUGACACUCAGACGCGACAGCUAGGGUAGUAAACGGGAUUAGAGACCCCGGUAAUCCUAGCCGUAAACGAUGUGAACUUGGCGUUGGUGGGUUAAACUCCAUCAGUGCCGCAGCAAACGCGAUAAGUUCACCGCCUGGGGACUACGGCCGCAAGGUUAAAACUCAAAUGAAUUGACGG
rnacentral:rRNA from 1 species